rnacentral:tRNA from 1 species
GGGCCUGUAGGUAAACGGUAUACCGCGUCAUUCGCAAUGACGUGUUCCGGGUCCAAUUCCCGGCAGGUCCACC